rnacentral:lncRNA from 1 species
CUUUUUUCCUAGAGACUUUCUUGUUAUCGUGAUUCACUCUGAUGGUAUUGCGAUUUUUGGGGGGUUUGUUUGUGCGUUUGUUUGUUUUACUUUGGUCGCUGUGUGGCUUACAGAGAGCAAAUUGACGAGAAAAACGUCAUUGAUUUAGAAGAGGAGAGUAAGGCUCACCAUCUUAACUUUGCUUUUAUCAUCUACCUCUUUCACUCUAGAGGGAAAAAGUUUACCCGUAAUUCAGAGCCCUGCAACUGAUCAGGGUCUUACAGUGGAAUGGUUGCUGGUUGUGUCCGGGAGAAGUGGUAACGAAGCGAUUUAUCAGAGAUACUGUGUGCCCAGGUCCGUGGAGCUGAACCUUCCUUGUCAGAAGCAAUGGAAUGGUUGACAGUGCCCCACAAAGAGAAGGAACAAAGGAAAGGAAAAUGAAAACCAUAAGCUCUUUGAACCAAGUCCAUGACAAUGGCAGAUGUAAUGGGGAAGAAAGGAGGAAGAGAAACUCAGCUUCCUACAACUGCAGCUACACACACCUUCUCUCCACUGUUGCUCCCCUUCUUUCGUCAAACCCCAGAGCAUAUCUCUGCUCUCGUACAGUCUGA